rnacentral:pre_miRNA from 1 species
CCUCAACGUAGUUUUGCCCUUUUUUUUAACGUUUAAUUAUUUAUUUUAUUUAAAAAUUUUUAUGAUUAUAUUUUUAUUGUUAUUAAAUGAUAAAAUAUGAAUAGUGCUUUAAGCAUAACUAAUUUUUAUUAUUUUUUUAUAAUUUUUCAAAUAAAUAGAUGAUCAAACGUUGGAUACGAAAAUCCAUUACUGCACGGGAU